rnacentral:rRNA from 1 species
CCUACGGGAGGCAGCAGUGGGGAAUAUUGCACAAUGGGCGAAAGCCUGAUGCAGCUAUGCCGCGUGUAUGAAGAAGGCCUUAGGGUUGUAAAGUACUUUCAGCGGGGAGGAAAAAAUAAAUUCUAAUAAAGUUUAUUCUUGACGUUACCCAAAGAAGAAGCACCGGCUAACUCCGUGCCAGCAGCCGCGGUAAU